AGUGAACGCUGGCGGUAGGCCUAACACAUGCAAGUCGAACGGCAGCACAGUAAGAGCUUGCUCUUACGGGUGGCGAGUGGCGGACGGGUGAGGAAUACAUCGGAAUCUACUUUUUCGUGGGGGAUAACGUAGGGAAACUUACGCGAAUACCGCAUACGACCUACGGGUGAAAGCAGGGGAUCUUCGGACCUUGCGCGAUUGAAUGAGCCGAUGUCGGAUUAGCUAGUUGGCGGGGUAAAGGCCCACCAAGGCGACGAUCCGUAGCUGGUCUGAGAGGAUGAUCAGCCACACUGGAACUGAGACACGGUCCCGACUCCUACGGGAGGCAGCCGUGGGGAAUAUUGGACAAUGGGCGCAAGCCUGAUCCAGCCAUACCGCGUGGGUGAAGAAGGCCUUCGGGUUGUAAAGCCCUUUUGUUGGGAAAGAAAAGCAGCAGGUUAAUACCCCGCUGUUCUGACGGUACCCAAAGAAUAAGCACCGGCUAACUUCGUG
rnacentral:rRNA from 1 species